CUCUCUCUCUCUCUCUCUCUCUCUUCUCCUCUGUUGCACUGCUGCAAUAAAGCUCUCUUGGUCACUCUGAGUGUUGUGGUCACUUUCCUUUCAAUAUCAAAGAAUCAAGCCACUAUGUCAUAGAAUAUGCCUGUUUAACAUGUUUUAGAAAUUGUAAAACAAUUUUCCAGGGUUGUACCAAUGUGCAUUCUCUUCAGCAGUUUACGAGAUACCCAAUGCUGCUUGUUUUUACCACCUUGCCAUUAUCAGUCUCAAUUUUAACCAUUCUCAAGGGAUAUAGUGGUAGCUCAUUGUGGCUCUAGUUUGCAUUUCUCUAGGGCAGAUUAAAAAGUAAAGUUGGUGACUUACUGCAGGAAUAGUGCCAGAUGGGGAGUUUGGAAAAGUACACCUGUCAGAGGACAACAGAAGUUUCCUAAGGCAGGCUCAGAGAGGACAGAAACCCCGAAUGGAGCAGAAGGGCAAAAGCCCACUUGAUCUUAAUUUUCAGCACAAAUACAGACCAUGAAAGUGUGGCAUCAUGAUCCUUCUGGUCUUUGGGGUUUUAAGCAAGAGGUAUCGGGAAAGUGAGAGAACUGGCUGUGGCAGCCAGCAUGCAUGGUAACUUUCUUUUUUGAUCCCUCAAUGUAGAUUAUUCUUAUCAUCGUUCACCCACUAAUAGGGAACAUGAACCUGGUUUAAACUGUUAUGAGUUAGUUUUAUCCUACUGAUAACAUGUUGCCAUGGUAAUCCUUAGUAUGAGAGGAAAAAAAAAAUCAGUGAAGAUACGCCCCCUAGUGGGUAAAACUGAAUUACCAGAGAGAUUUUUUUUUUUAGCCUAUUGAAGUGACCACUAGGAAGAGUAUCCUCCACCUCUUAUCCUGGAGGUACUAUAAGAGUAAAAUGUUGAACAUCUCUCAUAAAAUUAUUGAGAUAUGCUCCCUUCUCUCCAGUACAGUACCCCUUUGCUCAUUUUUCUACUAAUACCAACUGGUAAGAGCUGGU
rnacentral:ncRNA from 1 species